GCUUAAUAAUCCUCAGCUACUCUGCACACUUCCUGUCAUCUGAUGCUUCCUAACAGGAAGCUGCAGGUUCCAGAUGGUUAGAUGUGAUGAUGUAACAGGAAGCUGCAGGUUCCAGAUGGUUAGAUGUGAUGAUGUAACAGGAAGCUGCAGGUUCCAGGUGGUUAGAUGUGAUGAUGUCACAGGAAGCUGCAGGUUCCAGGUGGUUAGAUGUGAUGAUGUCACAGGAAGCUGCAGGUUCCAGGUGGUUAGAUGUGAUGAUGUCACAGGAAGCUGCAGGUUCCAGAUGGUUAGAUGUGAUGAUGUCACAGGAAGCUGCAGGUUCCAGGUGUUUAGAUGUGAUGAUGUAACAGGAAGCUGCAGGUUCCAGGUGGUUAGAUGUGAUGAUGUCACAGGAAGCUGCAGGUUCCAGAUGGUUAGAUGUGAUGAUGUCACAGGAAGCUGCAGGUUCCAGAUGGUUAGAUGUGAUGAUGUAACAGGAAGCUGCAGGUUCCAGGUGGUUAGAUGUGAUGAUGUCACAGGAAGCUGCAGGUUCCAGAUGGUUAGAUGUGAUGAUGUCACAGGAAGCUGCAGGUUCCAGGUGUUUAGAUGUGAUGAUGUAACAGGAAGCUGCAGGUUCCAGAUGGUUAGAUGUGAUGAUGUAACAGGAAGCUGCAGGUUCCAGGUGGUUAGAUGUGAUGAUGUAACAGGAAGCUGCAGGUUCCAGAUGGUUAGAUGUGAUGAUGUCACAGGAAGCUGCAGGUUCCAGGUGGUUAGAUGUGAUGAUGUAACAGGAAGCUGCAGGUUCCAGAUGGUUAGAUGUGAUGAUGUAACAGGAAGCUGCAGGUUCCAGGUGUUCUGGUUCUUACCUGAGGAACCCCGGUGGUCCGACGGCGGGUUUGGCGUAACCAGUGCCGUGCCAUGACG